CAACCAUAGUAUUUCCUAUGAAGUAUCUUACGACACCGGGGUUGCAGGAAUGAUUGAAGAGUGCUACAGUUGGAAAAACUCCGCCACCAAUGAAUAGACUCUUACCCUUGGACAGAAUCGCAAACAACAUUACCUCGUGAGAGUUGAACUGCAGCAUUUGAAGAUGAUACAGAAUCGCGUCUGCUACCAGAGUCUCGCCCUCCGAAAGAGCUAUCUCGGCAGCAUCAGGUGUCUUCACGCUCGCCGGCAGGUACGACGAGGUUUUCAAGACCCUCAACAGCCAAGCCGACAUGUAAGCUCUGUGAAACAAGUCCUCGGCAGUCCUCUCAUCCUCGUGUGUAACUGCGCGUUUGAAAUACAAGUAUAACGAACAGCAUAAAACAUCGUCACGCUGAACAACUCACCUAAAUUGCAGAAUGCCUUGUAAUCUCUGCCGACAAAGGGUUUGCCCUUGCCAAUUUCGAGCUUGCCCUUGGUCUUCUUGAGUUCGCUCUUGGCCUUGAUAAACUCUUCGUAGGGCUUCUGGAUGAUGGCGCGCAGAGCCAUCAUACAGGUGACGGAGGCUUUGGAACACCAGAGAGAACCCAGCAGGCCGCACUCGAUCGAGUGAACCCGCUCAUCGAGGUCCCGGCAAUUGGGACUGCAGUAGGCGACUGAACUGCAGAGGUAACAGCUCGCCGGGUAUGGAGCGACUAUGCGUAUCGAGCAUCUGUGGCAGUGGGUCAGCCUGCCAUUUCGUUCAAGAUAUUUGUUACAUUAUACUGUCAUCAUUCGUACAUGAUAAUUUUUUAAAACGUUUGUUUUUGUACCGAUAUUCUCCUAGAAGCAUAGAGCAGUGCGGUUUCUCAACGACGAGCAGUUCUCCUGGCUGAAUGUCCUUGGUUGCAACGGCGAAUCGUCCGACAUCACCUCUGGCAUCUUUUAUCUCCACGGCUUUGCUGCACGACGGGUACAGGGGAUUGCAUUCCUUGAUCUUUGGCGUCGUGUCCUUUUCCUUCAACCUUCAAACGUUCGAGCAUGAAAGAUUCUUACGCCUCAUCUAACGGCUAAACAGUAUCAAGCUGCACAACUCACAUAUUGUUCUCCAUUUCGAUGAGCUUCUCCUUAGUAACUCCCUUGCUGUCAUUCAGUUGCUGACCUUUUUGCAUCAUGGCUAGCAUGAUCCUCAUGUCGGACUCACACUUUUUCUUCUUCUCGCUGGGCAUCUUGGCAUCGUCGAGCGCUUGUAUUGCGCUUUUGAACGCCUCCAUCGCUUUGGUGUGACUCUUUAGGCCCAAAAGACAUCGGGCCCGACGCUCAGCCACUUUGUACGUCAAGUGCUUGGGGUAGCCCACCUUCAGAGCCUCCUCGCAAUCUCGCAGGGCCAAGUCAAACUUGUCCAGGUGGUAAAAGGCCGCCGAUCGGUUCGCCAGGAUAACGCCCAGUUCUAUUUUAUCGAUGUCGCUUCGACUAUCAACGAACACUCGACACGAAAACCUUAUCAGCUGUUUAAAAUUUUGGAAUAAAUCGUCAGCAGUCUGUAUAAGUAUAAAAUUUAAAGGGCAACAUAAAAAUUGCUUUUUCAUUUUCAACGUAUAGGGUGGAUCACGUUUUAAAAAAAAUCGCUACCAGUUCAAAUCGAAGCACAAUCGCAAACGUAUCGCAAACGUUGCGUUGACAUUGUAGCUCGUCACCUGCAUAACAGUGCGUCGCUCUUAUGCGCUCGUCAAAAUAGACAGACUCUCGAGAUUAACGUACUCGUUAAACUCACCUUUUUU